rnacentral:rRNA from 1 species
GAUGGGCGCAGCCUGAUCCAGCCAUGCCGCGUGUGUGAAGAAGGCUUUCGGGUUGUAAAGCACUUUCAGUGAGGAAGAACGCCUUGGGGCUAAUACCCCCGAGGAAGGACAUCACUCACAGAAGAAGCACCGGCUAACUCCGUGCCAGCAGCCGCGGUAAUACGGAGGGUGCGAGCGUUAAUCGGAAUUACUGGGCGUAAAGCGCGCGUAGGCGGCGUGAUAAGCCGGUUGUGAAAGCCCCGGGCUCAACCUGGGAACGGCAUCCGGAACUGUCAGGCUAGAGUGCAGGAGAGGAAGGUAGAAUUCCCGGUGUAGCGGUGAAAUGCGUAGAGAUCGGGAGGAAUACCAGUGGCGAAGGCGGCCUUCUGGACUGACACUGACGCUGAGGUGCGAAAGCGUGGGUAGCAAACAGGAUUAGAUACCCUGGUAGUCCACGCCGUAAACGAUGUCGACUAGCCGUUGGGGUCCUAGAGACCUUUGUGGCGCAGUUAACGCGAUAAGUCGACCGCCUGGGGAGUACGGCCGCAAGGUUAAAACUCAAAUGAAUUGACGGGGGCCCGCACAAGCGGUGGAGCAUGUGGUUUAAUUCGAUGCAACGCGAAGAACCUUACCUACCCUUGACAUCCUCGGAAGCCUGCAGAGAUGCGGGUGUGCCUUCGGGAGCCGAGUGACAGGUGCUGCAUGGCUGUCGUCAGCUCGUGUUGUGAAAUGUUGGGUUAAGUCCCGUAACGAGCGCAACCCUUGUCCCUAUUUGCCAGCGAUUCGGUCGGGAACUCUAGGGAGACUGCCGGUGACAAACCGGAGGAAGGUGGGGACGACGUCAAGUCAUCAUGGCCCUUA